GCUAGACCGGCGCACGGGUGCGUAACACGUAUGCAAUCUGCCUUACACUGGAGGAUAACCCCGAGAAAUCGGGGCUAAUAUUCCAUAACACAACGAAGUGGCAUCACUUUGUUGUUAAAGCUCCGGCGGUGUAAGAUGAGCAUGCGUCCAAUUAGCUAGUUGGUGAGGUAACGGCUCACCAAGGCUACGAUUGGUAGGGGUUCUGAGAGGAUGAUCCCCCACACUGGUACUGAGACACGGACCAGACUCC
rnacentral:rRNA from 1 species